GGUGACUAGGCUUUUUAUUUCACAACAAUUGGGCUUGUGCCCAAAACGAAAUCUCAUGUAUUUUGAGGCAAUUGAAAAGAUGAGACAGGCCCUCAACGACGGAGUGGUGGCUAGAAGAUGAAGAGUGAAGACCUCCUCCUGGUGCCUGGAGAGAAGCUUGAGUGAGAUCCGGUUUAUUGUCCGGGACAUAAAUGAAGAAUGGAUUUCAGACAAGACCCGCUUUUGUUAUGAUGGUUUGAAGAGGCAGAGGUUAAAUGAACCUAUGAUUCGUGGUCCUGAUGGACGUUUUAAGUCUGUCAGCUGGGCCGAUGCCCUUGCUGUGGUAGCUGAGGUUGCCCACAAAGUUGAACCAGAAGAAAUUGUUGGAAUAGCUGGCAAACUUUCCGAUGCUGAGUCCAUGAUUGCACUAAAAGAUUUUGUAAAUAAGAUGGGAUCAAAUAAUGUGUGGUGUGAAGGCAUUGGUGAAAAUACUAGUGCAGAUUUGAGAUCGGGAUAUAUUAUGAAUAC